CCGAGUUAGGGUUUCUCUCGAAGCCCGACCUCCCAACCCUUUGUCUACUAUACCUUGUCGUUGCUUCGGUGGACCGGUUUACCUGCCUAGCAAGUCUUGACCGCCGGGGACUCGUGCCCUGGAGAGCGUCCGCCGACGGCCCAACCACAAACUCUGGUACCAAACCAUGUCGUCUGAAUUUACUUGACUAAAAUCAAAAAAACA
rnacentral:misc_RNA from 1 species